CAGUAGCCGCGGUAAGACAGAGGAUGCAAGCGUUAUCCGGAAUGAUUGGGCGUAAUGCGUCUGUAGGUGGCUUUUCAAGUCCGCCGUCAAAUCCCAGGGCUCAACCCUGGACAGGCGGUGGAAACUACCAAGCUGGAGUACGGUAGGGGCAGAGGGAAUUUCCAGUGGAGCGGUGAAAUGCGUUGAGAUCGAAAAGAACACCAACAGCGAAAGCACUCUGCUGGGACGACACUGACACUAAGAGACGAAAGCUAGGGGAGCAAAUGGGAUUAGAUACCCCCGUAGUCCCUGUCUCUUAUAA
rnacentral:rRNA from 1 species